UACGGGGGGGGCAAGCGUUGUUCGGAAUUACUGGGCGUAAAGCGCACGUAGGUGGCUUGGCAAGUCGGGUGUGAAAUCCCCGGGCUCAACCUGGGAACUGCAUUCGAGACUGCCUUGCUAGAGUAUGGGAGAGGGAAGUGGAAUUUCCGGUGUAGCGGUGAAAUGCGUAGAUAUCGGAAGGAACAUCAGUGGCGAAGGCGACUUCCUGGACCAAUACUGACACUCAGGUGCGAAAGCGUGGGGAGCAAACAGG
rnacentral:rRNA from 1 species